rnacentral:lncRNA from 1 species
ACAGUGCAUUGUCCCUAAACGACCCAUACUUGCCUCACUGACACCAUGUGGCCCACUUCCCAUCUAUAAUCUAUGUCUGGGUGUGAAGCCCUUCCCAUAUGAUCCCCCGAAUGGAACUUCACAAGUUCGAAUUCACUGGGUCACAGUGUGAUAGCGUGAAGAUGGGAGGACGUUAAGGGAAGGCUAUGGGUGAGUUGGGAAAUGUGUUAGGCAGGGUCAGAGAUUACCACAUCCUAAAAACAACACUUAAGGCGGGAGAUGACAAAACAAUCAAUGAAUAACAUGACUUUUUCCAGUGAAAGUGCCAUAUCUAAUCCUUUUCCAUUUUUGUUCUCUGAGCUUCUUUCUUAGGGAAGAUCCUUCUUGAGAAGCCCCUGCUGAGUAUUAGGAAAAUGCAUUUCAGGACCUCUCAUCAACACACCCUCUUUCUUUACCACAACCACAUAUAUGGGGGCAUAACUCAACAUGUGUAAAAGACAAUCUUCUGCUUUUCACUGAACCUCCAGGAAUUCAGGACAAUAAACCUCUACAUGCAGACCAA